ensembl:lncRNA
GGCGUUCAGUUUGACGCGCCCCCAGGAUACCCCACAGGUGAAAGCCCCAGCUCGAGGCCUUUACCCGCCCUCCUCCCCAAGUCCCAGUAAAAGGGACGGUUCAGGGGACAGUCUCGGUGAAACCGAGGUUUAAACUCUGAGCCUGCCUUCCUUUCCGGCUUUCGGAGGUACCCCCAAUCCAAUCCCACUCUGUCCUCUCCUUUGCCUCGACGCCAAAGUCCUUAGCACCAGCCCGGCAUGUACACGGUCCGGCGAGGGGCCGAGGGCUCUGCGCUCCAGGGCCUGGGCAGCAGAGAGGAGACCGGGGGUCAGGGGCCAAGGGGACGGAGCCUGAACUCCGGGUCCUCUCUGGGCAUUGCCCCGCGCGUGCCCUUGGCAGUGCAGCUUGGUCACGCUCGCUGAAUACUUUCCAGUCUCUGUCCGGAACGCUCCGGGGACUUUGGUUUGCACCUAGAGCUCCUUUUGUGUUCUCUGGAAGCGCGGCCCCUCUCCCCUUACCCCUCACUCCUUCCUUGAAGCACCUGGUUCCCGGAGCCGACAGCAGCCCCUCUGCCCUGCGCCCCUCUUCCGCAGCUCCCGGCGGAGAACCGACUGUCCGCAGGCCGUGGCAACCCCCUAUAUGUCCACCAGAUGGCGCUCCAGGCCAGGGGCCGAACGGCGGCCGGACAGCCCGCCCCGGGACUGGAGCCUACCUUGGACCCAGAGCCGCGGCAGGAUCCGCUCCGAGACUGGGCCGCAGGCCCAGGGGGUGGGCGCAGGCCGCUGAGAGAUCGAGGCGCUCCGCGCACCCGAAGGAAACUCCAGACAGAGGAGGCAGACACAAGGAUGGGACUGCCCGAGGCUCGGGAUGGGGUCCUGAGCACUUCCGGAACCGGCUGGCUCCAGCUGCCUCCAGCAUCCUUGUGGGAUGUGGUUCCUCCCCCCAUCCAAGCCGGAUUGCACCUUGGUACAAGCUGCGGCAGAGGCGUAGCUUGAUGGAGGGUAGAUUGGGCAGCCAGCACCGCGGUUUAUUCACUGACUGUGACUUCUUCAAAAGAGACAAGGGGAUACUCAUGGAGGACAUUCAGGGUGUUCAUGAUGAAUCCCCAUUUCACAGCCGAUGACAGUGAGGUUCAGGGAGGUGACGUGACGUGCCCCCAAGCCAUCCAGUAAAUAAAGAAGAGUUCUUUCACAAUCCCACGGGCCUGCUCCUUGGAAAUGUUAGCUGAUGAAGUGAUGAUGGGUGAGAGUCAGCCUCGCGGCUGGGAAAGGGCAAAGGGGCCAGGUGCCCUCUUUGGCCCACCAGGCCACGUGUCCAUGGGAGAAGCAGCCUGGCUCAGAGCCCAAGACCAGGACAUCAGGGGAAGGGUGGCCACCCUGCUUCAAGUCAGCCCAGCAGAGGCACCCCCCCCCCCCCACCCUGCCACCCAAGGGUCAGUGACUUCCUCUGGGUAAAAUCGUUGCAGAGGUGACGUCACCCAGCGAGUGCUAAGCUCAGGCACAUUUGCUCUCUUCAUUGUUGAUUUCUGUCCCCUAGAGAACAAGGUAUCCUCUGGCCCCAC